CCUACGGGAGGCAGCAGUGAGGAAUAUUGGUCAAUGGGCGCGAGCCUGAACCAGCCAAGUAGCGUGAAGGAUGACUGCCCUACGGGUUGUAACCUUCUUUUAUAAAGGAAUAAAGUGAGGCACGUGUGCCUUUUUGUAUGUACUUUAUGAAUAAGGAUCGACUAACUCCGUGCCAGCAGCCGCGGUAAUACGGAGGAUCCGAGCGUUAUCCGGAUUUAUUGGGUUUAAAGGGAGCGUAGAUGGGUUGUUAAGUCAGCGGUAAAAAUUUGGGGUUAAACCCCAUCGUGCCGUUGAAACUGGUGUUCUUGAGUGUGGUAGAGGUAUGCGGAAUGCGUGGUGUAGCGGUGAAAUGCAUAGAUAUCACGCAGAACUCCGAUUGCGAAGGCAGCAUACCGGCGCCCAACUGACGCUGAGGCUCGAAAGCGUGGGUAUCAAACAGGAUUAGAUACCCUUGUAGUC
rnacentral:rRNA from 1 species